ensembl:lncRNA
AUUUUUUUCUUCCAUUUGGGCUCCGACCUCCAUCUGUUUAUGGAAAUAUUUAGAUUCCUCUGGUGUAUUUUUAGCAGAUCGUUUUGCUUUUGCUGCUGCAAUAUCAUUGCAUCAUCAUUCUCCUGUUGCUCAGCUCCAAUUCCUCUCUCUCUUUUCUUUUUUCUUUUUCUCUUCAGCUUCAAUCAUUCCAGCAUACAAAAAAAAAAAUUUUUUUUAAUGGUAUGCUGUGUUUACACUCUGAAUGCUCACACAAAAAGUGUCAGCAAAGUGCACACAGAUAUAUGUACACAUUCUGGGUUGUCAUGAGUGUAGUGGUAGGCUUUUUUCCAUCCGUGAAUUAUCCUGCCUGAGACAAGAUGAGUUGGCUGCCCAGGAGCUGAGAUCUCAGUCUUAGAGGUACCGCCUCUAAACAGAUGAAGUCUGAAGAUCUCAGGGAAAAAAAAAAGAAAAAAAGAGAGAGAAAAACGAAACCAUUAAGAAUGAAGAAAUGCAGUGUGCCAGGGAGUGGCGCUGACCCCUGUGUACAGAACUUCUGCCUAAGGCCAGAACCAAGAGAAUGGAAGAAGAUCUCCUCUGAAUCUAUCAGCCUGAAAGGAGAAACAGCAGCUACUGCUGCCACUGAUGUGUGAAAUCUGCUGCCCAGAAGGAAGCCUUUGUAGCUGCUGUUCAGCCUGCCUCAGUCUGCAAACACCAGAUCCAUCUGCAACUUGAGCUAAGGGAGUAUUUCACCACCUGCUUGCAGAGCAGGGCCUGAGAAACACUCCCAAGCUGUUGUGCUGCUACCUCUAAGUAGGCAGCACCACUCCUAUGCUCUUCCCUCUCUAAUAAACAUUAUUCAGUCCCUGACCCCAUAUGUUUCUUUCUGGGAGUACAACCCAGCCAUGUGUCAGGACAAAAUCUUCCAUUUUGGCUGGACUUGUGGCAUUGACCUAUCCCCAGUAAUUUGCCUUUCCAAAGUCCUUGGGAGAAGCACCCAGCUGCAAAGCAAUUUAAAUGGAUGAGGAGCCAACAAGUGCUCUAAAUGGCUUAUCUGAUUCUGUGGGGAAUCCAUCUGGAGCCAAGAGCUUUUCCCAUCUGCAUAACAGUGAUUAUGCUGCUUCUCACCCUCAUCCUCCAUAAAGCUCUUUUAAAACUCUAACAUAAUCCCCUGCCCUUCUACCCACACUAAGGCAGCAACACUCUGGAGCAAAAUGAGCUCACAGAAGGAGAGCUUCACUUCAUCAGGAACACACCAGUCCCUAGUGUUUGGUUAUACGGUGGCCAUCCACAUGAAACACUCAAGCAGAGCACGUGCUCUUUCUCAUCAGGUAAAGCAAUUUGAAUGAACAAAACAGUUCUUCCCUGAGGAUGCUGUGGUUGCACAAAAAAAUAUUCCAAAGCUUGGUACCCAUGAAAUCCCAUGACUGCCGCACCCACAUGGAACUACUCUAGAUCAUCUUUUCUGCACAGCCUGAAAGCUUGAAUUCACCAAUACACAGGUCUGUCAUAGGCCCAGUGAGCUGGACAGACACCAUUUUCCCACCAGGUACUGCUUGUACUAAGGAAGUGUUCUCAACCUUCACUGCACUGCAGAGAAGUAGUUGUUGGCAUCCUGGCCCACACUGGCUCCACUUGGUGAUCCUAUGCUGAACCUCUCCACUUGCAUCUCUGAAAUGCAGGCAAGGGAAUCCAUAGUUUGGAUAAGGAAAUCUGGACUGAAGAUAGCACCAGUGCACAAUGCCUAAAAGGACUUUUCCUUUGUGGAGCUCUUUUUGUGGAAAUCUGCAGCUGUCCAAUGCCAGCCAUGGCUCUCUCUCCAGCAGGCCAUGAGCAAGGAAGAAGCUCCAUGAAGGUGCACAGGAAGAGAGCAAGUGGUGUGCCGAUACCUCCCCAGAACACUACCCCAAGCUCCUCACAUUUCUGUCCUGCAGACUUCCUGAGCCACUCAUGGUGUCUUCAUACUGACCAGUCCUCGAUGGACUCAAGUUAGACAAAUCAACGGGAGAAAAAUCUUCAGCACAGACUACCACAGCUUAACAAUUUCUGAUGAAUAAAUAUCUUCAAGUUUUGCUGUAUGAUACCCUCCAAUUUUUCUGCCUUUUGAAUAUCUCCUCUGAUACUUGUGAUGCUUGACCCAAAUGAGAUGCAGAAGCUCUUUUUAAUUAGUUUAUAUAGAAUAAUAAGCUUUACUUAAACAUGGAAAUUGUAAAUAAAGACAAGAUCUCGGCUGAUUUCCCUCUGAAAAGCCCAUAGUUGCCCAAACAUACCUAAUCAUUUGCCUUCAUCUAGCCCACAUUUUUCUUAUUAGAAUGAUCUUCUGUCUUUGACUGUAUAAGACUUUAUUUUUGUAUCCUGGG